rnacentral:tRNA from 2 species
GCCGGGGUGCCCGAGCGGACCAAGGGGCUGGCCUGGAGAGCCAGUGGGGGUCAACCCUGCGCGGGUUCAAAUCCCGCCCCCGGCG